GCCCACAUAGCUCAGUUGGUAGAGCGCAUCCUUGGUAAGGAUGAGGUCACCGGUUCAAAUCCGGUUGUGGGCUCCA
rnacentral:tRNA from 4 species